rnacentral:lncRNA from 10 species
AUUUCACCAUGUAGGGACACAGCAUUCAUCCCAUUUGGAGGAAGCAGUGUUCAAGGCACCAUCCUGGAAGCAGAGACUGGGCCAUCACCAGGCACCAAACCAGCUGGCACCUUGGUCUUAGACUUCCCAACCCCCAGAACUUGCCUCUUCUUGCCCAUGGAAGGACAUGCAGCUUCUUACUCCUCUGCUGCCCAACACAGUUUACUGGCUGGCCACUCCAUGGCUAGGAUCCUUCACACUACCUGAGACCUGAUGUCUCUGGCUCCAAAGGACGCAGCUCUGCUCAUCCCCCAGUGAGGCCUGUCAUGAGUUGCUGUGGCUGUGGAAGCCUGCCAUCCUGGGAUGGAGACUUUUCCCACCACCCUGUCCCUUUAAUUUCAGCAGGCACAUCAUCCCGCCUCAUGUGGAUCCCCAGAGCAGCAGAUCUGGAAUCUCCUGUGAUGCUGAGGCCUUCAGGGACCACAGGAAACCCAUCUUAAUGAUGAAUCCUGGACUUUCUUUGCCCUUGGAACAGUCCUGGUUUCACACAUUUACCUCCAAAAGAGCACUUAACAGCUGCCACGUGGCUGCCCUGAGGUUUGGGCUGAAACAACAUGACCGUCAUACCUUCCCAGAGUCCUCCCAAGAAUGGUCUCUAGGUUCUCCUUCGCACAGUGGGGUACGAUGGGCUACUCUGCCCAAUCUGUGUACUCUCCUUGGGCUACUCUGCCCAAACUGUGAUUUGGGGCAUAUAGCUAUGCCUUCUCUGGUUCCUCUGUACCAAGGUCUCUCCAGUGGCUACCUCUUCUACUCAGCAGGACAGAGAAGCUCUCUUGGUUUUUAUUCUUAGGAUCCAGGUUCAGAAAACAAAUAAACAAACAAACAAACAAAAAACCUCAUGGUAGCUAAUCUGCCCCCUCCCUUCUCUAUGAAAUGGGCAGGCAGAGAAAAUCCCCCUGGCCCUGCCUAGCCCAUCCAUUCCUAAGGGACCUUCCCAUAGCCAGAUUGCAAGAGGAGAGCAAAUUUAAAUGAAAUAAAUAUGAAUUUCCUCCUAA